GACGAACCGUGCGACCGUUAUUCGGAAUCACUGGGCUUAAAGCGCGUGUAGGCGGGCCGGCACGUCCGUCGCUGAAAUCCCCCGGCUCAACCGGGGAACGGGCGCGGAUACGACCGUCCUUGAGGGGCGUAGGGGGACCUGGAACUUCCGGUGGAGCGGUGAAAUGCGUUGAGAUCGGAAGGAACGCCCGUGGCGAAAGCGAGGUCCUGGACGCCUACUGACGCUGAGACGCGAAAGCCAGGGGAGCGAACGGG
rnacentral:rRNA from 1 species